UUUCCCAGAAAGCACUGCCAGUGACGACGCCUCAUUCUCAGUCCCUGGACCGCUCUCAGUCGGUUGCCAUGGAAAUUGUCACUAACGAGGAAUGGGGGAGGGCCGGAAAUGUCGGAGCAGGGGCCCGGGCCACCCGAGGGGGACUUCCGCUUCCUCGUUGUCCUCUUUUCCUCGCCUGCUCUGCCUCUGAGGACCCUGCUCUUCCCCAAGAGGGAAGCAUUCAGGAGAGAAUGGUCCCUGUGAUCCCAACAGCCAGGUGCCAGGUUAGUUGGAUUUUCUUCUUUGCUGAAAUAAUACCUAGAUUCUCAGAGUUUGCAAACACUUCU
rnacentral:lncRNA from 1 species